AGGUGGGCCACCUCUCCCCAACGAGAGGCAACUAUCUGCGAGGGUAGACAGA
rfam:Stappia aggregata IAM 12614 1101096003795, whole genome shotgun sequence.